UUGUCGGAAAUAUUGGUUAACCUAGGACAUUUUUGGAAAUAUUGUGACAAUUUCUCAUUUAGGGUCAUAAGCAUGCCUGUUCUGACACUUUGAGGUGUUGUGGAACGCGUGUACAAAAUUUCUGAUGAUUUUGAUGUUCGCGGGUCAAUUUGACCCUCAAUUUCAUGGUUAACCACAGCUGCACAGACUCAAAAUUUAAAAAAAAAAUAUAUGUAAUUUUUAAUGUCAUUUUCUCAACUACCCUCUGACGGUAUUUAAAUUUACAUUUUUGCAUUUGGCUGACACUUUUAUCCAAAAAAAAAAUACACUAUGUUGAAGGUGUACAUUUCUGAACGCAUGAUUUUGGCGUUGCUAGCGCUAUGCUCUGCUGUUUGAGCUUCAGGGAAAGCACACAAAAAUGAAACAAAAACAUAAAAUAAAAAACAAUCAACAAUUUUAAAUAAAAAAAAUUGCUACAAUACUGUUUAUAUUAUUCAUAUUUUUUUAAACAAAUGGUUAAAAAUGUGUGAGAAGUAAUUAUAUUAACUGUUUUUACCUGGUUUGUUUUGUUUUUUAUAGUGUGAUUUUUUUUUUGUGUGUGUGUGUGUGUGUGUGUGUGUGUGUGUGUGUGUGAAUUGUAUUGAAUCCAAUUAGGGUCAACUUGACCCGCAACGAAAUAAUCGUACCCAGAAUUCGAACAUUACAUCACACUUGUUUUUGUAACACUUGCUCUGCAUAGCAAAAAUCAAACGAGACUCCAGUAUUGGCAAAAAAUAAGAAAUUCUUUUUAAAAAUUCACAGCUCUGUGAACCUCAGAUCUUUCUCAGCUGUCAGAUAAAAGUGCCUUUUGUCUCAUAUUUGUUUCACGUUUCCAGUGCAACCGGUUCUAAUCAUUCACGUCCUGUUGUGACAGAGCAAACACUCACAAGCUCCUGAGAGUCUGAGAUCUGAACGGAGCCGCUGAGUCACAGGACUCAGAGAAAUACGACUGAAUCUGGAGACCUGAACAGACAGAUCCACUAAAUCAUCACAUGCUGUGUCCAUCUGCAGCACAGAAGACAGAGAUCGUCAGAGACAGCAUGACGGAUUAGAUAUCGAGCGCGUACAGCUGAUCAGAGCUCACAGAUUGGCGGAUUUCAAACCCACUGCGCAAACACCACAGAGAACAAACGAGUACAGUCAAAUGUCUGUAUGCAAAGACCUUGUGUUUGCAUUCCCUCACCAAACAUCUAAAAUAGGACAAUAUUAUGCCCCGUGAACAAGGUUGCAGUUUGCAUAUUUAUUUUUGGAAAUAAUUUCUAACCACACUGAGUACAUCUCUACACUUUUUGUAGCAUUUUGGUAAAAAAAGUUUGAUUUAAAAAAAUCAUGUUUUGGUAAAUCAUAAUUAUGAGAUAAAAAGCUAUAAAAAAUAAAAUUAUGACUCACAAACCCAUAAUCAAAAAUGGUCAUAGUCAUAAAUAUGAGAUGAAGUCAAAAUUAUGAUAAAAUCUCAAUUUUUAUUUAUCUCAUGAUGAUUUGAGAAGUCGAAAUAAUGACAUACAAAGUCUUAUGACAUAAAAAAUAUUUUACUUUUUGUCAUAAUUUUGACUUUUCAUCUCAAUUUUGAUUUAUCUCAAUUGACUUAGUGUCAUUUUGACCACAUAAUUGCCAUAAUUUCAUCUUUAUCUCAAAAUGUCCUUUUGACUUGUCUAUAUGACAUGACACAUCAUGACAAAUCAUGACAUAAAGGUUGAAAUUAUGAAUUUUGACUUUUUAUCUCACAAUUUUCACUUUUCAUCCUCAUAAUUAUGACUAAGUAUGUCAAUUUCAAUUUCAUAAAAUGUCAUAUCAAUUUACCAAAUUUUGUCUUAUGUGGCAAAAAUUGGCUUCCAUACUGAGGUUUUUCGCAUAAAAAAAAAGUCGUGUCACCACACUAUGAAAGGGUUAUGAAGAUAAAGCUGCUCAUUUUGUCAAACUCGGCUGGUCAUGUGAUCUCAACAUGGCCACCCACAUAGGAUAUAAACAGCUUUUAUUACACUACUGAUAUGAAUGAGUCUUCAUCUCUUAUGAAAGUAUACCAUUUGAAACACAACAACUGUGUAUGCAAAUUACAUGUAAAUAACCUCUGUAAUGAUUGGCUAAUCUCCGCAUACCAGCAUACUGAAUAGACGUUGUGCUUUUUGUCACAUUUAACAUAUUACUACUCAAAGACAACCUAUUUUCCUGGAUGUUUUCCUUUAUCCCAGAGGACAAUGAAACAGUCACGACGGGGGGACAAGAAGAAGUGUCCAGUGGUACCAGGCACAGCCCAGCUCUGACCUCUAGCACACUUUCUCUCUGUUCACUCGAACACACACAAGUCUGAGGACUGAAUUCAACAAAGCCACGCUCAAUAUGACAGAUUUAUUAUAAUACCUCAUGUUUAUCAAUCAAAACGCAAGAUGUUUAUUUAAAAAGAGGACAGGAAAUGUUCAGUACAUGUUGCAAGUCUGAAUGUAAUUUAUUUCUGUGAUCAAAGCUAAAUUAUUAGCAUCAUUACUCCAGUCUUCAGUGUCACAUGAUCCUUCAGAAAUCAUUCUAAUAUGCUGCUCAAGAAACAUUUCUUAUUAUCAAAGUUGUGCGAAAGAAGACACAUUUCUAUCAUUUCAAACAUUUGGUUUUGCUCACUGUGAUGUUCAGCAAGCAAAACUUUAAAAGUGGGUUUAAUUUUUUUGUCCUCUCUAAUGGACCGCAGACAUGCUAAACAUUACUGUACGCCAUGAAUGACAGGUAUAAAGUGAAAUCUGUAUUUUCGAACAUGCAAAAUUAUUGUACGUGUGCCAACAGAGCCAUUAAAAGAGGAAGUUGAGCU